AUUGAACGCUGGCGGAAUGCUUUACACAUGCAAGUCGAACGGCAGCACGGACUUCGGUCUGGUGGCGAGUGGCGAACGGGUGUGUAAUGUAUCGGAACGUGCCCAGUCGUGGGGGAUAACGUAGUGAAAAUUACGCUAAUACCGCAUACGAUCUAUGGAUGAAAGCGGGGGAUCGCAAGACCUCGCGCGAUUGGAGCGGCCGAUAUCAGAUUAGGUAGUUGGUGGGGUAAAGGCCCACCAAGCCAACGAUCUGUAGCUGGUCUGAGAGGACGACCAGCCACACUGGAACUGAGACACGGUCCAGACUCCUACGGGAGGCAGCAGUGGGGAAGUUUGGACAAUGGGCGAAAGCCUGAUCCAGCCAUUCCGCGUGCAGGAUGAAGGCCCUCGGGUUGUAAACUGCUUUUGUACAGAACGAAAAGGUUUCUACUAAUACUAGGAGCUCAUGACGGUACUGUAAGAAUAAGCACCGGCUAACUACGUGCCAGCAGCCGCGGUAA
rnacentral:rRNA from 1 species